CCACCACUACGGCAGGCCACAUGUUAGGCAUUUAGUCCCGGGUUGAGCCACCAACCGGGACUAAAGGGGGAUACGAACGGUUGCCACCACCACUGCCCACCGCGUAGCCCUUUAGUCCCGGUUUGGGACACGAACCGGGACUAAAGGCUCCUUACGGGUCGGGACUAAAGCCUCGAGGGAGGCAUUCAGAAUUGGGGCGACGUGGCCGGGCCUUUAGUCCCGGCCCAGAGGCAGGCCGGGACUAAAGGGUCCCGGCCAAAGGCCCGUUUUCCACUAGUGACUCAUAUUCUGUAAACGAUUAUUUUGGGCGAAACUUCAUAAACAUGAGUCUGUGUCCAAUAAGAAAUUAAGAAGAAAUAAUAGAGAGCAUGAGGGCAAAAUCUUAGAGAUCACAUGACUAACUCCCAGGAUGUCAAAAGAAUGUGGAGUCUAAAACAACCCAUUGCGUCACUUAACUUGGUAGCUUCACACAGUUUUACACGGUCCUUUAGCCCACAUGUAAACUCCAAAACAUGCAAUUUGGAUUGAGUAAACAUGACCAUGUUAGCACAUUAUAUGAUGGAAAAUAAGUAUAAUAUAUAGUUAAUUACUUGUAAUGGUUCUCAAGCUAAUUACGUAUGCAUGCAACUAGGAACACAUCUUGAGCUUAUUCUGACUACCAUCUUUGAUCCUGAAACCCACGACCACAUCUCACCAUUCCAACACCGCAUCAGCUCACUCAGUACGCCAUGAGAAAGAAUAGUAAAAGCAUACUUCGAUUAAUCUUCAUAUAUGUCAAACUUGUACGUUAUACACGGAGUGACAUCCAAGCACCUGCAGAUUAGUCAGCAGAUAUUUUUUAAUUCACGUUCAGUGUGUAUUGAGUGCCCAUAGUAGCAACAAAGUUUAUAGAGAUAAUCACAAAUCCCUGUCAAAUUGACCAAUAAAGACUUUCAAGCCAAUUUUGGUGAUUACCGAGCAACAACAUGGUUUGUAGAAACAAUUAUAAGCGCACAACUGUCAACAAAAAAACUGUAGACAUCACUCAGGAUCAAUGCUGAAACAUUGGAUCGUACCCAGUUAAUAAUUAAUAAAAUAUAAAUAUACAAUAAGGAGAAAAUCAUUAUCGUAUUUAGAGAUAAAGCAAUUGAAAUCAAAUACCUAGGAUUGAAACAAAAGCUACCUUGGAGCUGAGCCAUUGCCGAGAUUGAAGCCUCAUAUGCAAAGGAGAUACAUACAAAAGAACAGAAUAAUGGCGAAACCUGCCAUGAGAGAACGUCAUUGGCAAAGUGAUCAGACCUAGAGUAGUAUACGGGGAAAUCCUGAAUAGACAAAUCAGCUGCGUGAUAGAUGGAGGGGGUGAGCACCUUGAUCAGGAACAUUGCCAACGCUUUGUAGGAAAACCUAGCCAUCAUGGUCAAAGUCAAACCUGCGCCCCGGGAGGAGAUGCGAUGGAGCAGCACAAAACAUGUUAGAGGCCGACUGAAGGAGGCGGCGUCCUGAGGAGAUGCGGCGGCGGAGCAGCAAAAACGGGAUAGACGAAGGAGUUGGCGUUUCCUUCCAGGAAACGGGAGGAGAGGGGCAACGUGGAUUGCUAUGAGAUUGAGGUAUGAUUAGAUUGAAAAGAUCUAAGACAUUCAAAGAAAAAAAG
rnacentral:lncRNA from 1 species